AGUAACAGUUUGCAUGUUUUGUUUGAGAGAGACAGAGAGCAUGGCUGUAACUCUCGAUUUUAGUCAUUAAAUGCAUGAGAGACGACGAAUUACUAAUGACUUCAUUAACAAAAAGUCGUUUUGCUGCCUUAGAGGUCAGCGAUGAUGACAGCGAAGGAGAACUCCAGGGGGUCAGUGAUGAGGCACGAAGGAAAUGCGAUGACAGCAAAAAUGCUAGAAAAACAAAGAAGAAAUGCAAGAAGAAGAAAAGGAGCAGACAGAAAAGUAACGAGUCAUCUGAAACUGCUGUAAUGAAUAGGGUGGAUUCAGGUGGUAAAGAAGCAUCUGUACAAAGUGGAGAUUGGGAUGAAUGGAAGCAAAAAGAUGAACAGUUUGUACUUGGUCAAUUCCAAAGGGACCUAAAGGAAGCUUUGGAAGCAAGUAAACAAGAUGCUUGGCAUGCUAAACAAAAGCAAGAAUUGAUGAAAACAAUGACAAUUAGCCAUGAAGAUGAUGAGAGGAAGAAGGAAAAGCCUGUUGUGAUGUCAUUUAAUGAGUUUCAACCCAUGAGAUCCACAACGGGGAUAAAUUCACCAAAGCUUGAAGAAUCUUCCAAAACAGGACUUGAUAAUUUUCCUGCCUGGCCUAAUGGUUUUCCUGUAGGUACAAGGGGAAGUACAAGACAUUCAAAAGGAAUUGCUGUUAAUGAAGUGCAGGUUAAGAGCGACAGUGAGAAGAAUGAUAAACCUGGGAAGUCAGCCUUACUCUCAAACAGAUCCAAUAAUGGAGGUAGAAUUCCAGACCACUCUACACAAAUGUUAACAGAAAAAAAACUACUCCCAGCUGCCCAUGAAGACCAGUUACGUGCAGAAAUGGUUCACAUUAAAGAAAAGCUUUUCAAAUCAAAUCUUGAACUCAGUGAGCUUAAGAAAAUGAGGACUGAACAUAUCACAAUGAUUGAAGAUCUAAAAAAAGAAUUGCUUCAAGUGAAAAAGAGAAAUAAGCAAUUGUGUUUCAUCCUCAGCCAAGCAGAAAUGAAAGAAAAGUCUGAGUUGCUGACUGAAAUUGAAGAAUUGAAUGAAGUGAAAGAACAGGUACAAGACUAAGUGGUGCAGUUACAUGCUGAAUUAGAACAAGAGAGAUCUAAGAAUUCUGCUUUGAAAAGUGAAAUAGCUAAGCCCGUAUGGGGAAGACAAA
rnacentral:misc_RNA from 1 species